CAUGAUAACAUGUUUUUGCUAGUUUCUUGAAUGAUCACUUGCAAAGCUAACCAAGAAAAGAGAGUACAAAGAAGAUAAAGGUCAUUUGUUUUCAAGUUCAUCUUAUGGCCUUGUAUUUCUUGUCCAUGCUUUCUUCUCUCAUUUCAGCUUUGUCCCUGCAGUUAUUUGUGUGCAUGUAUGGGAAGGGGGGAGUUAUGUUAUAUUGUUAGAGAAGUUCCAAAUAGCAUGUUACAUUACUUUCAGUUACUUGGGUAAUGAUGGAAUUAGAAAGCAGUAUUAUUGAGGUCACUUUCUAUGACUGAUUAUAUGAGGCUAAAUAUUUUUUAUUGUUUUAGUUCACUUCAUAGGACAUGGC
rnacentral:lncRNA from 1 species